rnacentral:rRNA from 1 species
AAAGAAGUAAGCAAGGGCGUAUGGAGGAUGCCUAGGCUCUCAGAGGCGAAGAAGGACGUGAUAAGCUGCGAAAAGCUGCGGGGAGUUGCAAAUAGACUGUGAUCCGCAGGUGUCCGAAUGGGGCAACCCGUUGUACUGAAGGUACAAUAUGGCAUAGCAAUAUGUCAGGCAAACCCAGGGAACUGAAACAUCUAAGUACCUGGAGGAAGAGAAAACAAGUCAGUGAUUGCGCCAGUAGUGGCGAGCGAACGCGCAAGAGCCCAAACCCUUCCAGUCAAGGCUGGCGGGGGGUUAUAGGACCACGUAAUCGAAAUACCAUGAAGAUGAACCGGGUGGGAAACCGGGCCAAAGCGGGUGAUAGCCCCGUAAUCGUAAAAUGGUAUGGAGAGGUGGUAUCCUGAGUAGGGCGGGGUCGGAGACGCCCCGUUUGAAUUUGCCGGCACCAUCCGGUAAGGCUAAAUACUACUGAGAGACCGAUAGUGUACCAGUACUGUGAAGGAAAGGUGAAAAGUACUCCGAACAGGAGGGUGAAAUAGAACCUGAAACCGUACGCUUACAAGCGGUGGGAGCUCCGUAAUGGAGUGACCGCGUGCCUUUUGCAUAAUGAGCCUACGAGUUACUGUCACUGGCGAGGUUAAAUGACUCAAGUCAUGCAGCCGGAGCGAAAGCGAGUCUGAACAGGGCGCACAGUCAGUGGGAGUAGACGCGAAACUUUGUGAUCUACCCUUGGCCAGGAUGAAGUUAGGGUAACACCUGAUGGAGGUCCGAACUAGUAAACGUUGAAAAGUUUUUGGAUGAGCUGAGGGUAGGGGUGAAAGGCUAAUCAAACUGAGAAAUAGCUCGUACUCCCCGAAAUGCCUUUAGGGGCAGCGUGAGGGUUAAGUUUAACACAGGUAGAGCUACCAAUUGGACUAGGGGGAGUCACAUCCUACCAAAUCCAGAUGAACUCCGAAUGGUGUUAAAUAUACCUUGCAGUGAGGGCAUGGGUGCUAAGGUCCGUGUCCGAGAGGGAAAGAACCCAGAUCUACAGCUAAGGUCCCAAAAUGUACACUAAGUUGAACUAAGGCGGUUCAGUUGCCUAGACAGCCAGGAUGUUUGCUUGGAAGCAGCAAUUCAUUUAAAGAGUGCGUAACAGCUCACUGGUCGAGCGACAGAGCAUCGAUAAUAAUCGGGCAUCAAGUGUACUACCGAAGCUUAGGAUUGCUGACGUAACAGUCAGCACUGGUAGGGGAGCAUUCUAACAGCGGGGAAGCAGCCUGGUAAUGGGUUGUGGAGCGGUUAGAAAAGCAAAUGUAGGCAUAAGUAACGAUAAGGCGGGUGAGAAACCCGCCCACCGAUAGACUAAGGAUUCCGCGGCAAUGUUAAUCAACCGCGGGUAAGUCGGGACCUAAGGCGAAGCCGAGAGGCGUAGUCGAUGGACAACCGGUUAAUAUUCCGGUACUACCGUUAUAAGCGAAGUGGAGAAGGAGGAGUGACAGCUCCGCGAACUGACGAAACAGUUCGUUGAAAGGCGUAGGUAGAUCUUUUACAGGCAAAUCCGUAAAAGAUGCUGAAACCCAAUAGUACCUGGAGGCUUCGGCCAAAGGGAUAGAGAGCGUAAGCAGACUUCCAAGAAAACCCGCUAGCGUUAAUUAUAAUGGUACCCGUACCGCAAACCGACACAGGUAGUCAAGGAGAGAAUCCUGAGGUGCUCGAGUGAAUCAUGGCUAAGGAACUAGGCAAAUUAAUCCUGUAACUUCGGAAGAAGGGAUGCCUCCCCCGAGCAAUCGGGGAGGUCGCAGAGAAAUGGCCCAGGCGACUGUUUAACAAAAACACAUGGCUUUGCGAAAUCGAAAGAUGAAGUAUAAGGCCUGACACCUGCCCGGUGCUGGAAGGUUAAGGGGGGACGUUAGUGGGUAACUGCGAAGCGUUGAACUGAAGCCCCAGUAAACGGCGGCCGUAACUAUAACGGUCCUAAGGUAGCGAAAUUCCUUGUCGGGUAAGUUCCGACCUGCACGAAUGGUGUAACGAUCUGGGCACUGUCUCAGCCAUGAGCUCGGUGAAAUUGUAGUCACGGUGAAGAUGCCGUGUACCCGUCACGGGACGGAAAGACCCCAUGAACCUUUACUAUAGCUUCACAUUGACAUUGUGUAAAUGAUGUGUAGGAUAGGCGGGAGGCAUUGAUCCCGGGCCGCUAGGUUCGGGGGAGCCAACGGUGAAAUACCGCCCUUCGUUUUCUUGAUGUCUAAUCCCGCUUAAAGCAGGAGACAGUGUGUGGUGGGUAGUUUGACUGGGGUGGUCGCCUCCGAAAGUGUAUCGGAGGCUUUCAAAGGUAUGCUCAGUACGCUUGGUAACCGUACGUGGAGUGCAAUAGCAUAAGCAUGCUUGACAGUGAGACCGACGGGUCGAGCUGGAUGGAAACAUGGAUAUAGUGAUCCGGUGGUUCUGUAUGGAAGGGCCAUCGCUCAAAGGAUAAAAGGUACUCUGGGGAUAACAGGCUGAUCUCCCCCAAGAGCUCAUAUCGACGGGGAGGUUUGGCACCUCGAUGUCGGCUCGUCACAUCCUGGGGCUGGAGAAGGUCCCAAGGGUUAGGCUGUUCGCCUAUUAAAGUGGCACGCGAGCUGGGUUCAGAACGUCGUGAGACAGUUCGGUCCCUAUCUGUGAUGGGCGUAGGAAGUUUGAGAGGAUCUGACCUUAGUACGAGAGGACCGGGUUGGACUAACCGCUGGUGUACCAGUUGUGGCGUCAGCUGCACCGCUGGGUAGCUAUGUUGGGACGGGAUAAGCGCUGAAAGCAUCUAAGCGCGAAACCCACCUCGAGAUGAGACUUCCAUUAAGGGACGUCAGAGAUGAUGACGUUGAUAGGCUGCAGGUGUACAGGCAGGAAUGUCAAAGCUGAGCAGUACUAAUAACCCGAUAACUUCUUUUC